rnacentral:tRNA from 1 species
GGCUCAGUGGCUCAGUUGGUUAGAGCGCCGCCCUGUCACGGCGGAGGUCACGGGUUCGAGUCCCGUCUGGGUCG